rnacentral:rRNA from 1 species
UGCUGAUUUGCUGACGAGUGGCGGACGGGUGAGUAAUGUCUGGGAAACUGCCUGAUGGAGGGGGAUAACUACUGGAAACGGUAGCUAAUACCGCAUAACGUCGCAAGACCAAAGAGGGGGACCUUCGGGCCUCUUGCCAUCGGAUGUGCCCAGAUGGGAUUAGCUAGUAGGUGGGGUAACGGCUCACCUAGGCGACGAUCCCUAGCUGGUCUGAGAGGAUGACCAGCCACACUGGAACUGAGACACGGUCCAGACUCCUACGGGAGGCAGCAGUGGGGAAUAUUGCACAAUGGGCGCAAGCCUGAUGCAGCCAUGCCGCGUGUAUGAAGAAGGCCUUCGGGUUGUAAAGUACUUUCAGCGGGGAGGAAGGGAGUAAAGUUAAUACCUUUGCUCAUUGACGUUACCCGCAGAAGAAGCACCGGCUAACUCCGUGCCAGCAGCCGCGGUAAUACGGAGGGUGCAAGCGUUAAUCGGAAUUACUGGGCGUAAAGCGCACGCAGGCGGUUUGUUAAGUCAGAUGUGAAAUCCCCGGGCUCAACCUGGGAACUGCAUCUGAUACUGGCAAGCUUGAGUCUCGUAGAGGGGGGUAGAAUUCCAGGUGUAGCGGUGAAAUGCGUAGAGAUCUGGAGGAAUACCGGUGGCGAAGGCGGCCCCCUGGACGAAGACUGACGCUCAGGUGCGAAAGC